UCCGUAGGCGGUGUGGCAAGUCGGUAGUGAAAUCUCUCGGCUUAACUGAGAGGCUGCUGCCGAAACUGCCAUGCUCGAGUGCGAGAGAGGCGAGUGGAAUUGCGGGUGUAGCGGUGAAAUGCGUAGAUAUCCGCAGGAACAUCCGAGGCGAAAGCGGCUCGCUGGAUCGCAACUGACUCUGAGGGACGAAAGCUAGGGGAGCAAACAGGAUUAGAUACCCUGGUAGUCCUAGCCCUAAACCAUCAGGACUUGGGGUUUGCCCUGUACGGGGCAAGUCCCGGAGCUAACGCGUUAAGUCCUGCGCCUGGGGAGUACGGUCGCAAGGCUGAA
rnacentral:rRNA from 1 species